CCCUACGGGGCGCAGCAGUGAGGAAUAUUUGUCAAUGGCCGAGAGGCUGAACCAGCCAAGUCGCGUGAGGGAUGACGGCCCUACGGGUUGUAAACCUCUUUUGUCGGGGAGCAAAGAGAGUCACGUGUGGCUCAUUGAGAGUACCCGAAGAAAAAGCAUCGGCUAACUCCGUGCCAGCAGCCGCGGUAAUACGGAGGAUGCGAGCGUUAUCCGGAUUUAUUGGGUUUAAAGGGGGCGCAGGCGGAGGUGCAAGUCAGUGGGCAAAUUGCGGGGCUCAACCCCGUACUGCCGUUGGAACUGCAUCC
rnacentral:rRNA from 1 species